UCCCUGGUGGCUCAGCUGGUAGAGAAUCUGCCUGCAAUGCGGGAGACCUGGGUUCAAUCCCUGGGUUGGGAG
rnacentral:tRNA from 1 species